rnacentral:rRNA from 1 species
CCUACGGGUGGCAGCAGUGGGGAAUCUUCCGCAAUGGGCGAAAGCCUGACGGAGCAACGCCGCGUGAUCGAAUGAAGGCCUUCGGGUUGUAAAGAUCUGUUGUCAGGGACGAAUAAGCAAUGCAAAUAGUUUUGUGUAUGACGGUACCUGUUUAGAAAGCUCCGGCUAACUACGUGCACGCAGCCGCGGUAAAAAGUAUGGAGCAAGCGUUGUCCGGAUUUACUGGGCGUAGAGGGCGCGUAGGUGGGCGCGUAAGUCAGGUGUGAAAACCCCGCGCUCAACCUGGAGACUGCAAUUGAAACUGGGUGUCUUGAGAGCAGGAGAGGAAAGUGGAAUUCCUAGUGUAGCGGUGAAAUGCGUAGAUAUUAGGAGGAACACCAGUGGCGAAGGCGACUUUCUGGACUGUACCUGACGCUGAGGCGCGAAAGCGUGGGUAGCGAACGGGAUUAGAUACCCGUGUAGUC